CUGUCUUUUCUCUCCAGUAACAGACCUGACCUGUUGCAGGUGGGGAGUCUGCCACUGAGAACAGCAAGAGGUAUUUUUGCAGUCUGGCUGCUACCCUUCCUCCCAUCUUGCAUGCACACUGUGUAAAAACUUGUGGUCCAGCUCGUCCAUGAUUCUGCAGCUAGCAUGGUUCCCUCCUGCAAAGUAUACCUGCUCUCUUUGAAACCGACAUUAAAAAUCAGAAAAUCCCAGCUUCUCUUAGUAGCCAUAUUCAGCAGUUUCUCAGAUUAAUGCAGUCUUUUUGAGGCCUAUUUUUUUUUUAAGUUUUCCAGAAGGAAGAAAGGGCCAGGGCAGGGGUUUGUUACCGGAAAAAGGGUCUUAUCCCAGAUGCCAAGAGUGAGUUCUUGAAUCUCUCACGGGAAAGAAUUCAGGGUCUUUAUUUACUUAGCAUCAUUAACUUAUUCCCUCAACCUUAAAUAUCUUGUGACCAGGACUGCCCAAUCCCCUGGGACUAUAACCCAGCAGGUUUGGCUUUAUCCAGCCUCUAUUCAGGAUGGGGGCACUCUGGUUAGGACGACUCUGACAGAUUCACUGCAGCACCAGCCGAGGGCUCCUCCAGAGCUAAGAGCAGGAGAAGCAAGGCCACCCCAACACACAGGAACCACCAGACUUGAAUGGGCAACAGCAAGAUUCCAGCAGGAACUAUGAGAUCCAAAACAUCCAGUUAUUAGGGGUUGUUACCACAGGAAGGUGCUGAAGUCAGCACAGAGCAGAGGACUUGCAACCAAGAGCUUAAAAUUUAUUUUAAGAGUUGUUUGUCUGCUUGUUGGCAAUUUUUGAAGCCUUAAAUAUAUUUUAAUUCAAUAUAUUAAGAAAUUAUUAUUUCAAUAUACAACCUGGCUGGGUACAGUGGCUCACAUCUAUAACCCUAGCACUUUAGGAGACUGAGGCAGGAGGAUUACUUGAACCCAAGAGUUCAAUACCAGCCUGGGCAACAAAGUUAGAUCUCGUCUCUACAAAAAAUAAAAAAAUUAGUUGGGAGUGGUGGCACAUACCUGUAGUCCUAGCUACUUGGGAGGCUGAGGCAGGAGGAUCCCUUGAGCCCAGGAAUUUGAGGUUGCAGUGAGCCAUGAUUGCACCACUGCACUCCAGCCAGCCAUGAUCAACAGGGGUUUAUCCCACAUGCAUAAGGCUGGCUCAACAUUCAAAAAUCAAUUAAGGUAGUCCAUCACAUCAACUGGUUGAGAAAAAACAUUUUAUUACAUUUUACAUAAAAAUACAUACACAGGGGUGAGUAGUGGCUUACACCUAUAAUACAACACUUCGGGAGGCCAAGAGGCAGGAGGAUCGCUUGAGGUCAGGAGUUUGAGACAAGCCUGGGCAAAACAGUGGCAAAAAAAUCUCUACAAAAAAUAAAUAAAUAAAUAAAUAAAAAUCAGCCGGGCAUGGUGGCACAUGCCAGUAGUCCCAGCUACUCGGGAGGCUGAGGUGGGAGGGUUCCCCGCUUGAGCACAGAAGUUGUAGGCUGUGGUGAGCUAGGAUCACACCUCUAAAGCCUGGGGCAGAGUGGGGCCCCAUCUCUUCAAACAAACAAACAAACCAUAUACAGAAGAAAAUAGAAGGACAGUGUUAUCAUCUUGCUGUGGGGAAUAUCUUUCUAAGUAAGUUCCUAGAAACAAAGCAAAAUGAAAAGCAACUUAAUGGGAGGAUGUAUUUGUAACAUAUAAAAUGACACGGUGUUGAUAUCUAUCAUAUACAAAAAGCUUCAACAAAUCUACAUGAUAAACAACCGCACAGAAAAUGCACAAAAUAUAUGACAAGACAAUUCAGAGAAAAGGAAAUAGAAAUGGUUAAGCAUUUGAAGAGAUGCACAACUUCACUAAUCAUCAAGAACACGCAAAUUAAAACAAGAUACCACUUUUUAAACAUCUGGUUUUAAACGAUUCCGAGUUGAAUAUUCAGUGCUGGGAAUGGUCUGUGGAAUCAGGCACUUUCCUACACUGUAAGUGGAAAUGUAA
rnacentral:lncRNA from 1 species